rnacentral:rRNA from 1 species
AUACGGAGGACGCGAGCGUUAUCCGGAUUCAUAGGGUUUAAAGGGUGCGCAGGCGGCCGUGCAAGUCAGCGGUGAAAGCCCGGGGCUCAACCCCGGAAGUGCCGUUGAUACUGCAUGGCUGGAAUGCGGUCGAGGCGGGCGGGACGGGGCGGGUAGCGGGGAAAUGCGUAGAUAUGCCACAGAACGCCGAUAGCGGAGGCAGCUCGCCAGGCCUGCAUUGACGCUCGGGCACGAAAGCGUGGGGAUCGAACAGGAUUAGAUACCCUGGUAGUCCACGCCGUAAACGAUGGGCGCUCGUCGUCGGCGGCAGACAGUCGGCGGCCAAGCGAAAGCGAUAAGCGCCCCACCUGGGGAGUACGGUCGCAAGGCUGAAACUCAAAUGAAUUGGCGGGG